rnacentral:rRNA from 1 species
UGGGGAAUUUUGGACAAUGGGCGCAAGCCUGAUCCAGCCAUGCCGCGUGUGUGAAGAAGGCCUUCGGGUUGUAAAGCACUUUCGGACGGAACGAAAUCGCGCGGGCGAAUAUCCCGCGUGGAUGACGGUACCGUAAGAAGAAGCACCGGCUAACUACGUGCCAGCAGCCGCGGUAAUACGUAGGGUGCGAGCGUUAAUCGGAAUUACUGGGCGUAAAGUGUGCGCAGGCGGCCGCGCAAGUCGAGUGUGAAAGCCCCGGGCUUAACCUGGGAACUGCGCUCGAAACUACGUGGCUGGAGUGUGGCAGAGGGAGGUGGAAUUCCACGUGUAGCGGUGAAAUGCGUAGAGAUGUGGAGGAACACCGAUGGCGAAGGCAGCCUCCUGGGCCAACACUGACGCU